GACGAACGCUGGCGGCGUGCUUAACACAUGCAAGUCGAACGGAAAGGCCCUGCUUUUGUGGGGUGCUCGAGUGGCGAACGGGUGAGUAACACGUGAGUAACCUGCCCUUGACUUUGGGAUAACUUCAGGAAACUGGGGCUAAUACCGGAUAGGAGCUCCUGCUGCAUGGUGGGGGUUGGAAAGUUUCGGCGGUUGGGGAUGGACUCGCGGCUUAUCAGCUUGUUGGUGGGGUAGCGGCUUACCAAGGCUUUGACGGGUAGCCGGCCUGAGAGGGUGACCGGCCACAUUGGGACUGAGAUACGGCCCAGACUCCUACGGGAGGCAGCAGUGGGGAAUAUUGCACAAUGGGCGGAAGCCUGAUGCAGCAACGCCGCGUGCGGGAUGACGGCCUUCGGGUUGUAAGCCGCUUUCGCCUGUGACGAAGCGUGAGUGACGGUAAUGGGUAAAGAAGCACCGGCCAACUACGUG
rnacentral:rRNA from 1 species